AUUGAACGCUGGCGGCAUGCCUAACACAUGCAAGUCGAGCGAGCGGCGGACGGGUGAGUAAUGUCUGGGAAACUGCCUGAUGGAGGGGGAUAACUACUGGAAACGGUAGCUAAUACCGCAUACCAUCGGAUGUGCCCAGAUGUGAUUAGCUAGUAGGUGGGGUAACGACCCACCUAGGCGACGAUCCCUAGCUGGUCUGAGAGGAUGACCAGCCACACUGGAACGGAGACACGGUCCAGACUCCUACGGGAGGCAGCAGUGGGGAAUAUUGCACAAUGGGGGCAAGCCUGAUACAGCCAUGCCGCGUGUAUGAAGAAGGCCUUCGGGUUGUAAAGUACUUUCAGCGGGGAGGCGUUACCCGCAGAAGAAGCACCGGCUAACUCCGUGCCAGCAGCCGCGGUAAUUC
rnacentral:rRNA from 1 species